GGAUUUUUGGCAGCAAGAUAAAUGGAGCGGUAGCUUUCCUGUCAAGUGGCAUAUUAUUAAAGACGUACCAAAUUCCAGCUUUAGACACAUUAUGUUAGAGAACAAUGAGAAUAAGCCAGNGAGAACAAUGAGAAUAAGCCAGUGACGAAUAGCAGAGACACUCAAGAGAUAAUGUAUAAGCAAGGUCUGGAAAUGCUGAAAAUAUUCAAAGGCCACACAUCAAAGACCUCAAUACUUGAUGACUUCAUGUACUAUGAGAAUCGUCAGAGAAUUAUGCAGGAAGAGAAAGCCAGGCUUAUAUUUAAAAGCUUUGAAGCUCCAUUCAUGGUAACUGCAUUAGAACCUGCG
rnacentral:misc_RNA from 1 species